AGAUCAUCAUUGGGCAUAAAGCGUGCGCAGGCGGUUUUGUAAGACAGAGGUGAAAUCCCCGGGCUCAACCUGGGAACUGCCUUUGUGACUGCAAGGCUGGAGUGCGGCAGAGGGGGAUGGAAUUCCGCGUGUAGCAGUGAAAUGCGUAGAUAUGCGGAGGAACACCGAUGGCGAAGGCAAUCCCCUGGGCCUGCACUGACGCUCAUGCACGAAAGCGUGGGGAGCAAACA
rnacentral:rRNA from 1 species